CGGGGCGUGGCGCAGCCUGGUCGCGCGCACCGUUCGGGUGGGUGAGGGCCCCGGUUCAAAUCCGGGCGCCCCGA
rnacentral:tRNA from 1 species